UACAGAGGGUGCAAGCGUUAAUCGGAAUUACUGGGCGUAAAGGGCGCGUAGGUUGCUUUGUAAGUUAGAUGUGAAAUUUCCGGGCUUAACCUGGAGUGGUCAUCUAAAACUGCAAAGCUAGAGUAUAGUAGAGGGAAGGGGAAUUUCCGGUGUAGCGGUGAAAUGCGUAGAUAUCGGAAGGAACAUCAGUGGCGAAGGCGCCUUCCUGGACUAAUACUGACACUGAGGCGCGAAAGCGUGGGUAGCGAACAGG
rnacentral:misc_RNA from 1 species